UACGGAGGGUGCAAGCGUUAUCCGGAUUUACUGGGUUUAAAGGGUGCGUAGGCGGACAGGUAAGUCAGUGGUGAAAUCCCCGAGCUCAACUUGGGAACUGCCGUUGAUACUAUCUGUCUUGAAUACCGUGGAGGUGAGCGGAAUAUGUCAUGUAGCGGUGAAAUGCUUAGAUAUGACAUAGAACACCGAUUGCGAAGGCAGCUCACUACGCGGUCAUUGACGCUGAGGAGCGAAAGCGUGGGGAGCGAACAGG
rnacentral:rRNA from 1 species